rnacentral:rRNA from 1 species
GUGGGGAAUAUUGGACAAUGGGCGCAAGCCUGAUCCAGCCAUACCGCGUGGGUGAAGAAGGCCUUCGGGUUGUAAAGCCCUUUUGUUGGGAAAGAAAUCCUAUCGGUUAAUAACCGGUGGGGAUGACGGUACCCAAAGAAUAAGCACCGGCUAACUUCGUGCCAGCAGCCGCGGUAAUACGAAGGGUGCAAGCGUUACUCGGAAUUACUGGGCGUAAAGCGUGCGUAGGUGGUGGUUUAAGUCUGCUGUGAAAGGCCUGGGCUCAACCUGGGAAUUGCAGUGGAUACUGGAUCACUAGAGUGUGGUAGAGUGAUGCGGAAUUUCUGGUGUAGCAGUGAAAUGCGUAGAGAUCAGAAGGAACAUCCGUGGCGAAGGCGGCAUCCUGGGCCAACACUGACACUGAGGCACGAAAGCGUGGGGAGCAAACAGGAUUAGAUACCCCUGUAGUCC